ACAACUUAUAGUGAAUGUAUACUCUUUGUCAAAGUAAACCAUUUUACAGAGCUAUUGCCUAUAAAAUGAACCGAGACAAAGCACGUGGCUAAAUUGCAUAUAGAACUUACACAACAACCUGCAAACAACGCAGAGGUCUAUGGUAUAUUGUUCCUACGACGUUAACCGCCGCACUAAAAUCUACUGCUUGUACAAGCUUUACGAUUCUGGCAACUACAACACGGACGCAUCGCGAAGACGAUAAUGCUGACGAAGACCCAGAUUCGGCGACGUAAACUUCUUUUGGUACACUUAUUGCUCAGACGUCGUAUGACAUAUCAAACACGCUACAGCGUAAACCUGCCGACACAGUACGAUGCCAAUCCUCCAGGGUGCCACCGUCUGAGAAGAUAUUCCCUAACGAAUAAUAAGCAGCAACUACGAUACUGGAUGCGCACUUCACCAUGUAGUAUACUACGUAAUUUAUCCUUAGAGGUAAAAGUAAAUAAUCGAUAAUCAGUGCGUACUCUUUACGUGCACUGAACUAAUAUUCUAACACUUGAUUCCGUAAAGCCACUAUCGAAAUUAUUACCAAUGAAAUACUAUUUGUAACAAUUUAGUUUUCGCUUUACGAGUACCGUUAUCUUUAACGCAGCAAGCUUUUCCACCGGAAAUCAAAGCACAAAGACGACAUUACUGAACACCACUUUCCUGUCGCUUGGCGACCAUUAGGGGAUUCGUAUCCAUGGCGGCGAACUUUUCUUUCUAUUUUUCCGAUCUCGUGGCUUAUUCUAUCUCCAGCCUUACUUUCAAUAUGUGCCAGCUACCCAGCUAGAAUCGUCCCUUUCCACUUCGCGCUGCUACGAGGCGUUUCAGUUGGUUGUUCUUCGACGACGAACGCUAGCGCGUUCUGUUCCUUCGUAACGUCCUAUGUUCGUUAUUCUUCAGUGCAUCCAACCUCUCUCCAACGCGUAUUGUUCUGUGUUCUGUCGACCACAACUUAAUUAUUAUACUGUCCGCAGCUACUGCAGGCAGAGCGACUAUGCUUGUAGAACUUGUCAUAAUAGUUGUGAUCGCGGUUGUGAGCACUAGCCGUCGACGCAUGCAGCGUAUGUAUAGAAACAACUGUUCGUCCCGGUUAGCGCCGUUCGGGCUGUCAUCCUUCCCCAGCCACCAGACGACCUUUUCCAAUCUUCGUCUUUUGCAUUCAUCUUUUCCAGCUUAGCCUUUCUUCCAUCUCUCCAUCUUCCCAGUCAGAUGCUUUUUUCCAUUCAACAUGAUGAUGGCGAUGAUGAUCAUUGUAGCGACUAUGUCCAGAAAGUUCACGUGCGAUAUUACUUCUCGUCUUCGUAGUCCCCGGCCACAUAGAACCCACAUAGUCAUUCUAGGUAUGACAUUGAUUCUCUCUCACGCUUUUAUAAUGGCACAAAGAAAACGCGCACCACAAGACCACUUCCCGACUUUUACUACACAGUUGUUCUUCUUUUUUGUUCGUGCCACGUCGUUGUGUCCCUCGGGUUUGGUCUCCUUUUAGCAAUACGCGCUCGGGCAAGUCGGUGGCAGCAGGUCCUGAUCACUUUUCCCGUUGCCCGUCAGGUCGAACUAGCUAGAUCAGGCUGACGGGGAACCCAAUGAAGAUAGAUCAGACCUGAGGAAGCUAGACCUAGACUAGACCAGACUGGGCUGAAGUAAGGUUUUGUAAUAAGGAUGAAACGAGAUUUUACCUUCAGAGUGUAUCUACGUCUCCAAUCCCUGCAAUGACUUUCCUUUCCUUUCUGUUUGUGCUUUCCUCUCAGAAGGUCCUAAUUUUAUUGUGGUUUGCCCUCGGAAUAAGCAGAGGAAAAAAGUAAACCUCCACCUGAACUGAGGUAUGUCUGUCGAAACAUACAGGUAAAACCCUCAUGUGACAAGAAGUGGCUGCGACAACUGCCACAGGGGCGUGGGCAAAAAGCAUACGCAGGUAGAUAGCUUCAGUAGAGCGCUACAAGCUACCAGAAACCGUUGGAUUAAAUCAGGAGAAUUUACAUUUACAGCAUUAGACAAAGCGAAAGAAGAGAGGAGACUUCGCGAACACUGCGCCAUUUCACUCCGUAAACGAAGAGUGCAAUGAUCAGAGCGACUUGAGGUACGAAGGCCGAGUCGACGUACCAGGACAGCAUCUGUACUAGUUGUGACUCAGAGGAAAUAAGAAACAGAAUAGGAAUACAUACAAAAAAAGCCUUGUGUUUUUUAAUGCCUGCCUAUCAAAGACGGCGGCACAUUACACUAACUAAAGGAUGUUAGGUAGGCAAUGGGUGGACAAUCAGAAAGCACAAUAAGGACAUUCUUAAUAUAUUAUGCAACAAGGAAAUGCUAUAGGCGUAAGAAAAACUUAAAAAAAAAGUAAUUGCCUUCUGUCGACCGAAGUGUUGUUUGGUAAAAACAUCUCUCUAUGACUGCAUCAAAGCACCGAAGGUCGUCCGGUAAUCCUUGAUCAGUUUCGUGCAGCUGUAUAUGUAAUUUGAUAGAAACAAUGAGCAUAUGUUGGCACCAUCCAUCAAGUUGAACAAGGUGUCAAAAAUGCCAUAAGAUUAUGCGAGAAAGUAAGCAUUAUUCCUUGUUAAAUGACGCUAGCACGACUACUAACUGUUAGAACGCAAUGAGUUAAGCUUCUGGAAAACACCAAAACUAACUAAAAUCGCAAUAAGCAAGCCUAAAAUGGGCUCGUUUGUUAUAGCUCCGUGGCUAUCUUAUGCAGUCAGAUUAUUCUUCACUCUGUAUUUCGUUUUAACACGUUUUCAUCUCUCUAGACAUGCGCACAUCGUGGACCUAUAUUGAAGAAACUAUUGUAGGACUAAACGAAUAUGAUUAACAGCAUUUCAAAAGUCCAGUGUGCCACUCGGCACUAUUUGCUUAAGUGUGACACUGUGACCUGCGGUUGAUCUCUACCAUGUGCCUUUUGCUCUGAUAGUACUACGCCAAGAGGCCCUUCACCGGAAGACGAUGCGCCUCUUUGAAAAAUCCUGCGAACACAUUAUGAUUUCACCAUUCGGCUCGAAUGCAUCUGCCUGGGAAAGCGGAUAGCGCCUUCCGUGAUAGACAUAAGUUAGGCGUUACACAACUGACGAUAGCGAUAAGCAUAUCGAUAUAAUUUUCAGUUAGGACUGACUGUAAUUCUAAAUUUUAGCCGCCAAGUGAUGGAAUCAAUAACAAUGCAUAUGACGCGAAUAAUUAAAAUUAGUUUCAAGCACCCUGUACAAUUUCAUUCUGUUGAGAUCAUUAUGACAGUCCUUGGAAGUAAAAAGAGCGGGUCGUGUUUGUCUAUUCUACGCAGAGAAAUUAUAUAACAUGUCGGUUUAUAAGAGUAAAAACUUAGCACUGGUAACACAUGAACAACAAUAAUAAACACAUGUGUCUAAGGUUAAGAAAAACCGGCUUUGAUAUUGACUGUUGAAAAAUAUCUCUAAAAUUCGAUCGACCAUCGAUGGAGACGUAUGUUGUGUAAUUUUGUGCAGUUACACAUCACAUGAUACACUGCGCACAAAGGCUAACAACUGCGACGUGUUUAUAUACUUAUACGAAUUUAAUAACGAAGAAGCCCAAAAACGCAAGGUACCUGAGUGUGAGUUGCUCAGAGCUAACUAAUAAUAUUGCUCUAAGUCAAAGUGGAAGCUGAUAAAAAAAAACCAUAAAUAUGUUUACAAAGAAUAUUGAACAGAAACUGGCUCACAUUGGCGAGCUCCGACCACCGCUUUACCGGCCCACCUUGAAAACGAGUAUUCGUCAAAAUCACGGGCCACCACAAAUGUUUGACAUCAACGACUCUUUAAACGCGGCGUUACAUGAAAGCAGUUUUUCUUGAUCUUUGAAAAUGUCGACGGUUGGCAGUAAGGGAAAAUGACAUGCUUUUGAUCAGUGAUCGUUCCUUCAUCGUUGCUGACUUGGUGGAUCGUAAACGACGGUCAAGAAAGAAAUUGGUAUUUAGUUCUCGCACAUGAUGCAGAAAAAUGGCAAGUCAAAAAACUUAACGAAAAUCGUGAGAGUAGCCAGUUAACGGCCAGAUCCGGUAGUAAACCAGUACUCUGAAGCGGAAGCUGUAAAUUCCAACUACGACUGUGCCUACAUAAUAGCGACAGUAAUAAGCAAUCAUCGCAGUACUGUAUUUUACAUAAUACUUACUGUAGACUCCAUGGUGGAUACUUGCGAAUCACGUCACCUGGAAAAACUAACGUAAAUUAAUAAAACAACUACUUGAAGUGCACAAAAGCCCGGCUAGUACAGCAGAGUAGAGAAAUCUAUAAAACGUAACAUGUUUCAAUUCUUUUGUCUUGUUUCGAUUGUCAAACUUCAAAGGUUAUGAAUUUUCAGAUCAAAAUUCAAAGAAAAGGCCUGUACUUUUUGGAAGUGCUAAGGGAAAAUUGUCCAUUUAUCAUAUGUCGCUGUGAACCUUUUUUGUGGCGGAACCCAACCGUUUAGUUUGUUAACCUUAUGAAGCGUGUGGGCUUUCGCUAAUACUGAUAGGACGCAACUUGAACUAAACAAGUGGUACAGUUAAGCCCUUCAGUAUACCGCUCGUCUGCGUGGAGAUCAACAACAACCUAUUAGACAAGUUCAACAAAGACUCUACAUCUAUUGGUUCAAAUUACUCGGUAUUACUAAUGAGGGUAAACGUUGUAAAACUUCGUAAAAAGAUAUUAAUAUCAUAAAGUAGUCUGCCUUGUGUGUGUCCAUUGAGUCUCCACCCAUGCUGAGGUGACCUCCAAUUUAAAGAUCGAACAAACUUACUUGAGCAACAUACCAUACAGAUAUGCUUACAAAUCUUUUAGCUGUACGCUGACUCCAUGUUUGUUUUAUUAAAUUUGUUUUACUCUAUAUGUUGCUUUUGUACCAAUCAACGAUAUGCUUAGCUGCUUAAUCAUAAAAGUAAAAUCAAUAUAUAACGAACUAUUGCACACAGAAAAGUAAAACGAAGAUUAAAAUUUUUCCGUAUAUUGAUCCAACUUCGAUGAUCACUACGACAGGUUCGAUGGCACAAAUGUAACACAUAAGAAAAUUUCCAAAUCAGUUUUGCAUUUUUGUUCUUAAAGGCUGUCAAUUAUUUGUUCACCGUUUUGGUAUUGAAGUGUGGCGCACGGAAAUAUCAUCUUCCGUGUUAUUAAUCGAGGUUCACUAUAAAAUACAUACGACUCCAACAAGGCCUUCGCGAUUCUUCAACAAAAAAGAACACGUGAACAUUUCCAAGGAACUGACAAGCUAUGGAGAUGCCCCAAAAUCCACGUGUAAAAGUGAAAAAAAAAUGAUGUAAUUUGUACACAGAAUACAGCAACAGUGUAUCAUAUUGACUAUUUGUAUAAGUUUAAUACACAGAAUACAGCAACAGUGUAUCAUAUUGACUAUUUGUAUAUGUUUAAGUUAUGUUAAAUAUAAAACAAGUACUAUUCAAUCUACCGUAAUACGCAAUUUUCAUCUGGAGAUCCAAAUUAGUUUGUUUACUUUCAAUAUAGCGGCUAACCUAUUUAGGGUAUAUAUAAUACGUAUAUACGUAAACACCUAGUGCGAGUUCCCGCAAUACUUUUCGAAAACCUUUGACAUGGCACACUUCAACGUUUCAUUAAAGAUUUGCUCACAGAUAGGAUAUAGAGCGGAACUAAUUCGCCAAGGAUAUAAAAGCAUAUUAUCAGUGAAUUUUUUUCAUAUACCUCUACUUAGUCGCAAGUUGAGUAUCAUAUUAGGCACUGACUGAUAUUUUUAACAGUAAACCGUCUUUAUAUGGGCGGCUUAUCUGAUUAAGCGCUAUAGAUAGAUCAUAGAUAUUGCAAAUUUUGUAAGGCUCAUUUUGGAAUAUUAGCAUUCAAUUUAAUGCAUCUCAAAGAAGUAGCACGGCCAAUAGAAGUUUCGCAAGUUCCUUCAAUUAACCGCAAAUAAUCAGCCGUACUCUGAUCCAAACGCUCAAAUGAGCCCAUAUUAUUUUUGUAAACACUUAACCGCAAAGCUUACAAUUAAUCAAAGAUAAUCCAAGUUUAUUAUUUGCUGUUCAACAAGUUACAACAGACAUGCCAUCCACAUGCAAACGAACAAGACAGUUGCAACAUCGAUAUCUAAAUUAUGAUUAUCCAAACAGACGUUCAUUGACUUUAAAGCAAGAAGCCUCCAGUGGUACC